rnacentral:rRNA from 1 species
CCUGGUGUCCAUAGAGCUGUGGAACCACCUGUUCCCAUCCCGAACACAGAAGUGAAACGCAGCAUCGCCGAUGAUAGUGUGGGGUCUCCCCAUGUGAAAGUAGGUCAACGCCAGGC